GUUUGCAUUUUGUGCUCACACAGGCUGCUUAAUUCACAUGUUAAUUUUUCAGGUCCAAAUGGAGAUGAUUUUCACCUACCUGCUUCCUUGGUGUGUUGGGCUGCCUCUGAGGCAAUCUUAAUGAAGCCUUUUGUAUUCUUGGGAUGAAGAUGAUCCACAGAGAGAAGAGUUAACGUGAUCACUCCUAGGCAGGGGAAGGUGGCUGCAGAAUGAAGGCCUGAGAGAUUGGUUACAGGUUUUCCCCUUGGGACAGAUGGCAAGCCACAUUCCUCUGCCACACUCACUUCUGCUGGGAAGAAGGGAUAAUGCAACAUGCCUCAUGGAGAACCAUCAGUGCUGAUCUCAGUGACCAGCAGAGGCAACCUGCUGAUAGCUUGGAUUGUCUAAUGAUUAGCAGUGGGAUGGAGAAGACACCAACUGUUCUGUGCCAAACAGGGGCUCGGCAAUCCCAUUUCAGCCAGAAUAAGUGGAGUAAAGGCAGCCAGCACUGUCUGGAGGAAAAUGCCACACAGUGAGCCAUGCAUCUCUGCAAGCUGCAUAGGCAAAGGUUUUAAGCUCUUGCUGAAAGUUCACCUCUUCUUGCUGGCUUCCUUGUGGUGUUUGUGAGGUCCCCAGGAUGAGGUAAGAGAUGAGAAUUUGACUCCAUGUUCCUAGAAGGCUGAAUAAUAUAAUAUGACAUGACAUAUGACA
rnacentral:lncRNA from 1 species